AUCCCAUGAUAAGGAUAGUUACAAAGUAACUCCUUGAAUUGCUCCCAAGCCUUAUACAAAGACUCGUCAUCCAAUUGUUGGAAAGUUAUGAUCUCUCUCCUUAACUU
rnacentral:snoRNA from 1 species